UACGUCUAUUUGAUAGACCUUGGGAAGUUAAUAUCUGUUUCUAAGUUUUCCACUACAGAUGCAAGUAAAAAGGGCCUCAUGCUUUCUGUUGGUCUGUGGUAGCCAGGAUUGACCUGAGGAAUACAGGA
rnacentral:snoRNA from 1 species